GGGAGUGUAGAUAAGGAUGUGGAUGUGUCUCCGUCUAUCCUCGGAACCAAAACAAUAGACGCAAAUCUUUUGAGAGGCUCCAAACCAACCCACUUUUAUAGUACUCCUAUCCCAUGACGUGUGAGCCGGGAGCCCUUAUCCCCAUUACCAUCCCACUUGACGGUUAUAGCCCCAACUGUUUUUCUUUUUUCAUUUUGAAACUCAAAUAAAUCUUCACCAGCAGACUCCUUCCUCUAUAAAUCAUCAAAAACCAAACACCUUCUUCUAUAAUUCCUCACGAUCAAACACCCUGUUCUGUCAUUGUACUCUAUUUUCUGUCUGAUAAAUUUGAUAUGGGAGAAGAAAUCGAAAACCUGUGUUUUGACAUGGGUGCACUGAGGACCAAUCUUCCACAGAAGAGAGGGUUGUCGAGGUAUUACUCCGGGAAGGCAAGAUCCUUCACAUCCAUAGCAGACGUUCACUGCCUAGAAGAUCUAAAGAAAAAAGAACAUCCAGCUGCUAAGAAGAGGAAGAAACACUCAAAAAGACAGGAUAUACAAGCUGCCCCAUAUCUAUGUGGAAGAGUGCCUGGUGGCACCCAAUGCACUACACCAUGCUUGGGUGUGUGAAACUUUGAGCAUUAAUGGAAGGAUGUAAUCCCUAUCAGAAAUCUUUAGCGAGUUUCUCAUCAUUCUACAUAGAUCCAUGUAGAAGAGAAUGAGUAGAGUCUGGAGUUUUGGCUCCAUAUCAAAACAUGGUAGAUUGUUUGGUAAUGUAAAUGUCAACAGGAAUCUGAAAUGAUGAGCAAUUGAACAAUUUAUGAGAUUACCCAAUUCCAUA